CGGAAGGGGCAAGCGUUGUUCGGAAUCAUUGGGCGUAAAGGGCGCGUAGGUGGUUCUGUAUGUCUACCGUGAAAGCGUACGGCUCAACCGUAUUUUGUCGGUAGAAACUGCAGGACUUGAGGCUGGGAGGGGCUGGUGGAAUUCCCUGUGUAGCGGUGAAAUGCGUAGAGAUGGGGGAGAACACUCGUGGCGAAGGCGGCCAGCUAGACCAGUUCUGACACUGAGGCGCGACAGCGUGGGGAGCAAACAGGAUUAGAUACCCUGGUAGUCCACGCUGUAAACGAUGGGCACUAGGUGCCGGCGGUCUUGAUCCCGUCGGUGCCGGCGCUAACGCAGUAAGUGCCCCGCCUGGGGAGUACGGUCGCAAGGCUG
rnacentral:rRNA from 1 species